CUCGCUUUUCACCUCGAAGACGCCGAAGGAACGCAUCAUUACAGUUCUUUUUUUUUUGUAUCGCGCGGCACCUCGUCUGUUGCUUGCCCAAAAGCAGCAUCAUCAUCUCAGGCAAUUUCGAUGGUGGCGUGUGCCCGCCUGGUUCUACGUUUACUUGGCUUUACGGAGACAGCACGUGUGCGUAUGUGUGUGUAUGCGCUGCAAUCAAAGGAGAUCCCGUGAGUAACGGAAGAAGCAUGUCUCUGAAGGAAGCAGACGUCACCUUAGCGGACGGUGCACCACGGCGGUCAUUCCUCGAACUUAACCGAGAGGACCAGCGAGUGAUCUGCAACAGCCGAGAAAAGGAGGAUUCGCUGCCGUUCGUGUCCUUGCCACGCGUGAACGUCACUCGCACGCUCCCGACGCGCACUUCGGAGCAGCAACGCGACAUGUUCGCGAGCGGCGAAUCCGUCCAACUGGAUUUCCCAGCGUACUCGUCGACGGAGAUGGUGGUGACGCCGCCUUUCAUCCCUACGGAGCGAGAGCACAAUUUUUUUAUGAAGGACGAGGACAGUCAGAGUGUCGGCGACGGCGACGCACACAGGACAGUCAGACCGGGACUCGACAGCGCGCAGAGCUCCACAGUCACCUUCGACGCCGUGAUGCCGCGCAGAAUGAUCGCGACGGCGGCCGUGGUGACACCCUCGGCGGGAGCGCAGGACACCACUGAUGUGCGUACCGCAGCCUCCUUCGGCCUGCCUUCAGCCGCGCUGGAGGGCCAAGACACUCCGCGUCAGCCGGAGCAGCCGGCGACGUACACGAAGACGGCGAUGCACGGCUGCCCGCAGGGCAAGCGCCGCUUCUCCCUCGUUGCCAAGGCACCAGCGUUUGACGCGGCGAGAGAGCAGCAAAGGAACUUGAUCACCAUGGGUCUCGGCGGGUCGCUGCCGCUGUACAAGUUCGAGGAAAUCCCGUCUUGGCAGAGGUACAACCCGUAUAUCCGCAGCCGCUACCGGGCCUUCUACACGGCCGAGAUGUGUUUCAAGAGCCUCCUAGGCUGGCAUAACGAGACCAUCAACGUGUACUCGCACCUUCUUACCUUCGUCGUCUUUCUGGUCAUGACCGCGCUGCUGUACACCACGGUGCUCAGCAAAGCCAUCACCGCCCCCUCUCUCAGAGCGUCCAAGCUGAUAUACGGCAUCUUCUGCUUCGGCUCCCUCAUCUGCAUGCUGAACAGCACCAUAUAUCAUCUCUUCAACAGCCACUGCAGCUGCCGCGUCAUGACAGCGAUGGGACGGCUGGACUUCAUAGGCAUAACGGCCCUCAUCGUGUCCAGCUUCUUGCCUCCGCUGUACGUCAUGUUUCACUGCCACCCCGUAGCGCGAACCAUGUACAUUACCGCGAUCUUGCUGCUCAGCACGGCCGGCAUUAUAGGCCCGUGGACGGAUUUGUUUCAUAAACAUGUACAGGUGCGGUUGAGCGUGUUUCUUGGACUGGGUUUUAGCGGUCUGGCGCCAGCCCUCCACAGCCUCGCGAUUUUGCCCAUGAACGCAGCGAGCGGGUCGACGCUGCUUGGCAUUUGCCUGAUGGUGGUUCUCUACUGCAGCGGCGUGGCUUUCUACGUGACCCAGUUCCCGGAGUCUCGCUACCCUGGCCACUUCGACUGCUGGCUCUCCAGUCAUCAGCUUUGGCACUUCUUCGUCUCCAUGGCCGCCCUGGUGCACUACUGCAACUGCGUUAGCAUGUACCAGAUGUGGCAAGUGAGCGAUGGCAUGUGCGGAUGAGCUCCACCAUGUCUUGUCGGUAGAAAGCGGCCUGUUCGGUGACACGUGGGGUCGUCACGCCGGUGGCUAACUGCAGGCAAUGGUUCCUCGAGCCCACCUCCCACCCUUCCUCUCCCUUCACACGCAGACGCGCAGUCGCCCGCGCUAUCGCCACCCUAACAUUCCCACCUGCAUGCUGCGAUGCCCACCUGUGCGAGCAGUCGUUCGAUCCCUCUGCGAUCACGUGGCGGGAGCGAUGCCCUCUGUGCCAGCCAUCACAAUCCGGUGCAUGUGUGUGUGUGUGUGUGUGUAAAAUGGAGUUGCUGCCAUUGUUUGCUUGCCCUUUGCCUCUCUCCCCUUCCCUAAUGAAAGGGGGGUUGGUGGGGUGGACAAACCCUUCAGUGCGUGGUGGCAUGGCAUGGCACGGCUCCGUACCUCCCUCCAUCCCCUUCCACUCGGUGUGGGGAAGCCGAGCAGCCCUCCCCCAUCCCCCUGCCAAAUGCCGAGCUGCUUCUGGCGAUGAGACGGUCACGCGCCUACGAGGCAGGGGCGUCGCGGUGAUUUAUCGCUACUAAUACCGGCACUAAGGUCCUGGAUGGCGUUGCGUCGGAGCGACCGGCGACGGUGAGCACUCGUGUGCCAUCCAUAUGAUUAGGCAGAGUGCCCACCUGACUCGGACGCAUCCCACCCCCGGCCCUCACGCGCUGCCCACUGGUGUCGGGGGAGCCUGAGUGCCACCGCGCGGGGGAUGCGCCACGUGGCGACCGGCACGAUGGGGGAGCGGCUAUGGGGUGGUUGGGUAUCGCACGAGGCAGAGGCCGUGCUCUCCGAUGACUGGGUCGGCGCACUGCUGUUUCACGUCUGUCUGUGGCCGCUUCGCACCACGCGAUGUGGAGCCUGUGACAGGGCCGCGGGAGCGGUGAUGUAGCGUUUGAUCUCGUGCUUCGUGGCAGCGAACGGGCACGUCGAAUAUGACACAAAAAACAAAACAGAGAGACGCGGCUGCAGCCUCCCCUUUCUUCCGUCCCCUUUCCACUCCCCCUCUGCCUCCUUCCCUCGCUGCUGCUACCAG
rnacentral:misc_RNA from 1 species